GAAGGACCAUCGGGGGAAGAGGACAGAUUGCUGUUCUCACAUCCCAGCGCCCACCACUGUGAUCCGGUCCUGAGGGCCCCCGCUGGAUUUAAGCAGGGCUGUCUUCAGAGGCGUGGGAUGUCACCAUCCGGGGCCACGCCUGAUUUGGGCACAAGCUCUAGAUCCCAGCAACUGGCGCUUGCUGUUUACACCAUUUCCCGGGGAGCAGGGUCACAGUAGGCCCUGGCUCAAGGGGUCUAAUUUUAAACACUGGGUUAAAAAAAAGGUCAGAUCCUGGCUACCUCCAAGAUGCAUGCACUUUAGAAAGAUGACCCUGAGUGCAGAGGCCAGGAAAGAGAAAAUGAUCUCUCUCUAUUCCUCCCUCUCUCCCUCCUUCCACAAACUCCAGCAAGUGCCUAUCUGCCAGGAGUGCCCAGCAGGGAGGAAGCAGUGACCUGGGGCAGUUCCCAUUUCACCCUAAGUCAGGCAUCUCAAAGCUGCCUGACCUCAAGAAUCCCAUCUGGGGGCAUCAGUUCAAAAUAGAUCACUAGCCCCCAGCCACGUGAUUCUUAGGGAUCUAUUUGGAUUUCUUAUUUCACAUGUGGUUUUCAUAUGUUUGGAGUUUUUUGUUUGUAUAUUUGUUUUAUCAUUUGUUUAGAUCAGAAUCCCAAAUGAGAUCUACACCUAGCAGUUGGUUGAUAUGGGUCCAAAUCUCCUGUACUCUGUUGAUUUCCUCUCCAUUUAUUCAUUUAUUUAUUUACUUAGUUAUUGUUUCUGUUUCCCUCUCUCUCUCCCUCUCUUCUUGCAAUUUAUCUGUAGAAGAAAGUCUAUAUCUAUAGAAGAAGUCUAUAUCUAUAGAGUCUCUCACAUCUGAAGUUGGCUGACUGCAUUCCCCAAGGUGCCACUUAACAUGUUCCUCUGUCCCCUGUAGCUCCUGUAAAUUGUUCAAAUCCAGGGACCUGAUCAGAUUCCGGUUUGAGUUUAGGGCAAGACUACUUCCUGGGUGCCGCAUGUCCUUCCAUCAGGAGGCUCACACUCUCUUUUUGUGAUGUGAGCAGCUGUAGCUGCCCAAUUCAUCCAUUAGGGGUUACCCAGUGAUGACUCUCUAAUUCUAUCAUUUUUUCCUACAUUUUAAAGCAGGUAUAAGUCUAUAAAUAGAAACUUACCCUCAUCAACCAUUUGGUUACCCUAAGGUACCAUCUAUAUAGGAAAGGUAGAAUUAAUUAUGAUUCUUUCUCUUUCUUUAGGAGCUCAAAUCCUUUUUGGUACAACAAAUGUGUGCUGGCAGUAGGAGAAGGCACAUCCUCUGAGCCUCUGUUGCCCCACCUGUAAAAUGGGGAUGCUGGUGAACUCACAGACUUAUUCUGCAGAGCAAUGCUUGUAUCAUCAUGCCACUGUGUGUUUCAGCAUCUGGCAUCAGAACCUGGGGAGAAGUCCACCACAAGAUGCAGGAAAAGUUUGCCAACCCCUGAUAUGAGAUCAUGGAUGAAAAGCACUUUAGAACAAUUCCUGGCACAGGGUACGUGUUUAGUGAAUUUUGUUCUUAUUAGUAUAUGGAUGUUUAUAAAAUCUUCUUUCCCUAGGAUGUGUUCAAAAGCAGUAAUUGCUUUUAUAUUUCAUUGAGCCUAAGGCACAUUUUUUCAUAUUUUAACGUUCCUCAAAGUGGAAUAUAUCUUACAGUCGGAGGCAUAGCAUACUUAAUUGACAGUUAAUUGCCAACAUUUCUCUUUCUUUAUGGUAUAUACAUUAAACGGGGGUGGGGGGUUGGGUCUCAGAAUAGCUGACCUCUUAGAUCCAGGAGAAUACAGUAAAGUAAUUAAAGCACUACAACAAGCAGUCUAGCAGGGGGACAGACUUGUCAAAAGACAAGUACAACCAGGUGCUAAGCGCCAGGGUAGACAUCGGAAAGGCCGGAAAAGGGCCCUCUCCCAACUGGGAGAGAAUUAUGAGGAAAAGAUGCCCAGAGGAGGGGAUGUCUCCUUAGAGACAAAGACUGUUGUAGAAUAGAAAUGUCGGGAUGAAACACCUCUGAGAGAUGGGUCUCGGUUAUCUACCACUUGGCCCCUGAGAGUCUCCGUUUUCUGCCUUAUAAAAUGGGGGCAGUAAUAACCCCAAGAGACCAACUCUCAGAUUCGCUGUGGGACCAGAUGAAGCUCCAGCAGCCUGUGUGAACAGGCCCCAUGGCUGACCAUUUCUGUUUGUCCCACUAGCUUGGGAGCAGGGAAACGGUUCCUUGCCUUUCUUGGCCCCCAGAACAAACCUCAAAGCAGGUUUGUUGGAUAAACACGUGCAGAUGAACCCAGGAGCCCAAGAGAGGGACCAGGAAGUAACAGGGCCUCUGUGACUCAGACAGGCCUGUCCCUGAACCAAGGGCACCGCCUGCCAGCAUGGCCCCAAACCCCGCCCCAGGCACCAGGGGAACUGACGCCACGGUGAGAAGUGACAAAUCUCUGUUGUUAGUUAAUUUUUUUGAGACGGAAUAUGAAUUGAGGCAUAAUUUCCUUUUCACUAUUAGAAAACACUAAUUAAUGUUGAAGGGAGCAAAUGAGGUCAUAGUUUGUCUAUUCCAAACUGUCCCCUGAAGGAAGGAGAAGAAAGUUACCAGUGGUGGAUUCAGAAUCCUAGUUGAAGACUCAGAAAUUGUGCCUACCAAUUUUGCCUUUGUGGGUAAGUUAUUUGGGGGCAGUUUUUAUUAAUAAUUGCCAAUCUCUACUGAGCACUUGCUGUAAGCCCUAGCCCUUUGCCAAGUGCAUUACAUACAUUUCCUCCUAGACUGUGACACUAGCCCUAUGAGGCAGGUACCAUCAACCACCCACAAAGGAAGAGAUGAGGGAACCGAGGUCCAGAGAAGUUAACUAACUUGUCCAAAGGCACAUACAAGUAAGCGGAGCAGCUGGGGGCCUGGCGCUUCCUCUCUGUUUUCUAAGUCCUUCGUCCUUAUCUCUCCACAGCACACAGAGGGCGUAUCAUGAGGGUGGCGCGUUGCGGCAUUUCACUGUCUGUUUCAUGGGCUGAUGACUUUUAGGGGGCUGCUUCUAGAUGCCAAAGGAAGGGGACAAGGAAAUAGGCCUCAGACUCGGGCUUUCUGCCUGGCCCUCCCUGACUCACUGAGCCAUACUGCACAAAUGAUUCAUUCACUGACCUCGACCUCAGUGGGUUUGGCCACCCACUGAGAGUGAAGUCACACCUCCAGCUUUCCAACGCAUUCAUUGGUUCACUCAUCCGCUUCAGGCAGGCAAGAAACAGGCCUGGCUGGCCUUGCUUGGGGUCAGGAAAACACACAAAUGCUUCUCGAUGUCCUGAAGUCAUGGAUGGACCGCUCAAUUCCAGCCUAAGAGAUCCUCCGAGGGGCCUGAAGUGGAUUACUAGGGUUGUCGAAACAAAGUACCACAAGCUGAGCGACUUAACAUAACAGAAAUUGCUUGUCUCAUAGUUCUGGAAGCCAGAAGUGCAAGACCAAGGUAUUGACAAGGUUAGUUCCUUCUGAGGGCUGUGAGGGAGUAUGUGUCCCAGGCCUCUCUCUUAGCUUCUGGUGGCUGGCUGGAGAUCUUUGAUGUUCCUUGACUUGUAGAGGCAUCACCCCAAUCUCUGCCUUCAUCUUCAUCAGUCACAUCAGAUUAGGUCCCACCCUAAUGAUCUCAUGUUAACUUGAUUACCUCUGUAAAGGCCCUGUUUCCAAAUAAGUUCACAUUCUGAGGUACUCGGGGUUAGGACUUAAGCAUACCUCUCGGGGGAAACAUAAUUCAACCCAAAACAGGGCCCCAAAGAUAGCCCCCUAAUAAUAACAUGUUCAAUACCAUAAAGAUGUCCAUUUGACCCAGGUAAAUAUAUCCAUUUAAAAUGAUCCUAAUGAAAAUACUGAGAGUAGAUUGGGGUUUUUUUUGUUUGUUUUUUGUUUUUAUUUUUCCUGGAGUUAAACAAAUUGAUUCUGAAGUUGAUAUGAAAUAAUUAUCAAGAAUGACCAGGAAAACGUAAAAAGAAAGGCAGUGGGAUGGGGAUAAGUCCUACCAGAUAUUAAAACAUAUCAUAAAGCCCCAGCAUUAAAAUAGUGUAGUUAGGAACAUGACUAGCCAGACAGAACAAUGGAACAGAAUAGGAAGUCCAGAAAGUUGCCCAAGUACGUAUGGAAAUUUGAUGUAUGAUGAAAGUGGCAUCUCAAAUCACUGGACAUGAUGGACUUUAUAAUAAGUGAUCUUGGGACAGUUGGACAGCCAUUUGGAAAAACGAUAAAAGGGGACCCAUACCUCACACCAAACACUUGAAUAAAUACCCAGUGAGCCAGAGAUUCAGAUUUUUUUAAGUGAAACCUUAAAACUUGUAGAAGAAAACGUGAGGGGAUUCCUUUAUAACUCAGGAAUGAGAAAAGCCUUUCAAUGUAGGACUCAAAACCCAGAAACAAUAAAAGAAAAACUUGAUAAAUUCAGCUACAUAAAAAUUAAAGCUACAUUUAAAAAAAAGCUUUUUAUGGCAAAAAAAAAAAACCUGCACAAGCAGAAAUUUUAAAAAAAAAGACAAAUGGGAGACAAUAUUUGCAACAAAGAGACAAAGGCUAAUUUCACCAAUAUUUAAGGAGUAUUUAAAAACAGAUAUGAAAAAAAUUAAAAUAUGAUUUUAAAAUGGACAAAAGUGGGAAUUCCCUGGCGGUGCAGUGGUUAGCACUCCAUGCUUCCACCGCAGGGGGCAUGGGUUCGAUUCCUGGUUGGGGAACUAAGAUCCUGCAUUCUGUGUGGUGCGGCCAAAAAUAAAAUAAAAUAAAAUGGACACAAGCCAUGAGCAGAUAGUUCCAGAAAAAGAGAUGCAGAAGGACCCUGAGCAUGUGAGAAGAUGCUCAUUUGUAAUCAUAAUAAGAGACAAGAAAAUUCUAAUUACACUGAGAGACCCUCAUCCUUCAGGUUGGCAAAAAUCCAAA